AGUUGUUCAUCUUUUAAAAAAUGUUUUUUAGAAAGAUUAUAAAUAUUUGCUAUUAUUGUAAUCAAUCCAGAACGGACAGAGUUUCAUUGCUUUGUACCUUUUAGACAUUGACAGAAAGCAGGUGCUGCAAAACAUCAAGGUCCGAAAGGCAUUGAAGAAGGAUGCCAGCUGGAUCCAGGAGCCUAAAGAUGCCAAGGUGGAUUCUGAAGUGAAACAGAAACCUGCUCCAGGGAGAAAGAGUUUGUACGUCCUGUCAACAGCCAAAAGAUACGAGAGUUCAGCUAAUCAGACAAAUAACAAAAUUGAUCCUGUUAAGAAUGAUGCUCUGCCUGAGAAAGCAAGAGAAAAUACCACAAGAGAUACAAA